CAGCUAAGUUUGUCCUUAAACAUCUCCAGGGAGGGUGAGUCUGCCGCCUCCCUGGGCAGUCCGUUGCAAUGUCUUCAUGGAGCGGGGGGUGCACAGAGAGAGUUGAGGCUGAUACAGGGUAAAAAAGGCACGGAGCGAAGAUUCUUACUCGCCCUCAGAGAUUUAUUGCCGCCGUGGGGCGGCUGUGGAGCCAUUCUCAUCUCUCGUUAUGCUUUACCUUCUGCUCCGAGGGAAUGGUCGGGUCUCACUGGGUGAUAUUGCUGAGGGAAGCCGGUAGGAAGUGUGGCAACGGGCGUUGGUGGUAUAGUGGUUAGCAUAGCUGCCUUCCAAGCAGUUGACCCGGGUUCGAUUCCCGGCCAACGCAGCUUUAGUUUUUAUUUCUUUUCCUCCUCGUAAUCUUUUUUCCACCGUUUCUCACCGAUCCGAACCGAAUUGAGAUGCACCGGUACGCGGAGCGCCCACCCGGCUGCGCUUUGCCCACUUGAGCCCCGUCGGGAGGCGGGCGCUGCUCAGCGAUGGGGCGCACGGUGCCCCACGGUUACUUCUCUUCCCAAGUCGCGGUGGAGACCCCGAGUCGUUAGGAGACGCCGGGGAAAUAAAUAAAUAACUCCGAAUUUAAAAGACCUUAAGCCCCUUCAAACCAAAAGAAAAACCCCAAACAACAAGAAAAUAAACCGGCACAAAAAACUACCACGAGAUGAGGGGGGGGAAAAAAAAAAAAAAAAAAGGGGGGAAAAAAAAAAAAAAAAAAAAAAAAAACAGGUGUUUCCGCCCGGGAUCGAACCGGGGACCUUUCGCGUGUGAGGCGAACGUGAUAACCGCUACACUACGGAAACCCGCCAUGAGAGCCAUUCCCCGGGGGUGGCCCAUGUUCCCGCCAUGUUGGCUGAGGGGACGUGAGACUCUCACGGCAACUUCGGAAUAAACCUCCCGCAAACCCUUAGAAAUGCCGCGCGGGAGUCCCAGCGAUUAUCAUCAAUGGCUAAUUGGAGCCCCCAGAGACCCGCUGGCCUCGGGAGGAGGCUGCGGCCCCUUCCAGCCUGGCGAUGGGUGGGGAGAGGAGCCGCAGAGCAGACAGCGCCAGGAGGCAGCUCUCGGAAGGCACCUGUGGGAGGAAGAGGCAGGGAUUCCAUGAAAGGCGUCGUGCUGUCGGUUGGCAAUGCAGAUGUUCAUGUUUAUCUGGCCAUGGGAGGACACGAGAGCAGUGUGCUCAGAGCUAUCAGCAAGAGCCUGAUCUUUCCAGCAAGCUGUUGUCAUGGUCUACAUGAAUUUAUCCAGUAGUCUCCCCCUAAGUGCUGCGGCAGCCGGGAGUCCCUUGGAGCUGCGAGCACAAACCCCACCAAGGACAGGCACACGCCUCGGAGCGACCUCUUCCUCCUCAUUAUGUUGGUGAUGGUCUCGAUGUCAGCGGUUCAAGGGGCACGCGGGGUUCAAUUCAGCGCCGAGAUAAAGGCAGGAGAGGCAUCCCCACUCCCUCGAGGCGCAGCGACUGCGCCGCUCCUUGAUUGUGCCUUUGGCAGACGCCUCAUUAAAAGUGGCUGUUCCACACAAACAUGCCCUUGUCCUUUCGCAGCCGUAAUCUGAGCGUGGAGGGAGAGCUCAGCCCCACAUCGGCGUGUCUGAGGCUGUGCAGACCUUGACUCUAACGAGCUGCUGUUCAUUUGUAGCCUUCUCUGCCCUUCCUGGAGCUGUACUUUCCUGGCGCAUCCUUAACUUACACUGUCUCACCGGCAGUUUGGAUCGUGCCUCCAGCUAAUAGAAUGAAAAUUAACGUUACCCAAACCAAACCCAGGACACUUCUCUUGCAAAUCCUUUGGUCUUAGUCCAAAUAACAUUUCUCCUCACAGAUACACCUCCUGCAUGAAACGUUCCCAUGUAAAACUAACAGGUAGAGGAGACAGACUCUGAAUCUUGCCAUUCCCAUCAUGUAAAUGGUUCAGUGGAAGGU
rnacentral:tRNA from 1 species